rnacentral:rRNA from 1 species
AUUGAACGCUGGCGGCAUGCCUUACACAUGCAAGUCGAACGGUAACGGGCCUUCGGGUGCCGACGAGUGGCGAACGGGUGAGUAAUGCAUCGGAACGUACCUUUCAGUGGGGGAUAACGUAUCGAAAGUUACGCUAAUACUGCAUAUUCUGCUAGCAGGAAAGCAGGGGAUCGCAAGACCUUGCGCUGAUGGAGCGGCCGAUGUCAGAUUAGCUAGUUGGUGAGGUAAAGGCUCACCAAGGCGACGAUCUGUAGCGGGUCUGAGAGGAUGAUCCGCCACACUGGAACUGAGACACGGUCCAGACUCCUACGGGAGGCAGCAGUGGGGAAUUUUGGACAAUGGGGGCAACCCUGAUCCAGCCAUGCCGCGUGAGUGAAGAAGGCCUUCGGGUUGUAAAGCUCUUUCGGCCGGGAAGAAAUCGUAUGGGCUAAUACCCUGUGCGGAUGACGGUACCGGCAUAAGAAGCACCGGCUAACUACGUGCCAGCCGCCGCAGUAACAC